rnacentral:rRNA from 1 species
UACAGAGACUACAAGCGUUAUUCGGAUUCACUGGGCGUAAAGGGUGCGCAGGCGGCCAAGUGUGUCAGGUGUGAAAUCCCGAGCUUAACCUCGGAACUGCGCCUGAAACUACUUGGCUAGAGUACUGGAGAGGGUAACGGAAUUCACGGUGUAGCAGUGAAAUGCGUAGAUAUCGUGAGGAACACCAGAGGCGAAGGCGGUUACCUGGACAGUUACUGACGCUCAGGCACGAAAGCGUGGGGAGCAAAAGGG